UGACUCAGUUGGUAGAGUAUGGCGCUAGCAACGCUAGGGUUGUGGAUUCGAAUCCCAC
rnacentral:tRNA from 1 species